CCUACGGGAGGCUGCAGUGGGGAAUAUUGGACAAUGGGGGCAACCCUGAUCCAGCCAUGCCGCGUGUGUGAAGAAGGCCCUCGGGUUGUAAAGCACUUUCAGUGAGGAAGAACGCCUGGUGGUUAAUACCCAUCAGGAAAGACAUCACUCACAGAAGAAGCACCGGCUAACUCCGUGCCAGCAGCCGCGGUAAUACGGAGGGUGCGAGCGUUAAUCGGAAUUACUGGGCGUAAAGCGCGCGUAGGUGGCUUGAUAAGCCGGUUGUGAAAGCCCCGGGCUCAACCUGGGAACGGCAUCCGGAACUGUCAAGCUAGAGUGCAGGAGAGGAAAGUAGAAUUCCCAGUGUAGCGGUGAAAUGCGUAGAGAUCGGGAGGAAUACCAGUGGCGAAGGCGGCCUUCUGGACUGACACUGACACUGAGGUGCGAAAGCGUGGGUAGCAAACAGGAUUAGAUACCCCAGUAGUC
rnacentral:rRNA from 1 species